CAGCAGCCACGGUAACACGGAGGGUGCAAGCGUUAAUCGGAAUUACUGGGCGUAAAGCGCACGCAGGCGGUCUGACAAGUCAGAUGUGAAAUCCCCGGGCUUAACCUGGGAACUGCAUUUGAAACUGUCAGGCUGGAGUCUUGUAGAGGGGGGUGGAAUUCCAGGUGUAGCGGUGAAAUGCGUAGAGAUCUGGAGGAAUACCGGUGGCGAAGGCGGCCCCCUGGACAAAGACUGACGCUCAGGUGCGAAAGCGUGGGGAGCAAACAGGAUUAGAUACCCCGGUAGUCCCUGUCUCUUAUAC
rnacentral:rRNA from 1 species